GAUUUCUGGUAUUGCGCACCUGAUCGACGGUGGUUACAUCGCCUGUAUUGGUGCUGCGCAUGCCAUCCUGCUAGAUUUCCGGACGUACUUUACUGUGCGGCCGUGCGAUCUAGCUCAUUUACUUUGAAAAAAUUAGAGUGUUUAAAGCAGGUUUGCGCCUUGAAUACAUUAGCAUGGAAUAAUAAUUUAGGACUUCGGUUCUAUUUUGUUGGUUUCUAGGACUGAAGUAAUGAUUGAUAGGGAUAGUUGGGGGUGCUAGUAUUCAGCGGCCAGAGGUGAAAUUCUCGGAUUCGCUGAAGACUAACUUAUGCGAAAGCAUU
rnacentral:rRNA from 1 species